rnacentral:rRNA from 1 species
AAUGAACGUUGGCGGCGUGGAUUAGGCAUGCAAGUCGAGCGAGAAACCCCGCAAGGGGUGGACAGCGGCGUAAGGGAGAGGAACACGUGGAUCAUCUGCCCUCAGGUCCGGGAUAGCUGCGGGAAACUGCAGGUAAUACCGGAUAACAUCUCCGGAUCAAAGGUGUGAUUCCGCCUGAGGAUGAGUCCGCGUCCUAUUAGCUAGUUGGUGGGGUAAUGGCCUACCAAGGCAAUGAUGGGUACCGGGUGUGAGAGCACGACCCGGCUCACUGGGACUGAGACACUGCCCAGACACCUACGGGUGGCUGCAGUCGAGGAUCUUCGGCAAUGGGCGCAAGCCUGACCGAGCGACGCCGCGUGUGGGAUGAAGGCCUUCGGGUUGUAAACCACUGUCAGAGGGGAUGAAAUGCGUAGGGGUUCUCUCCUACGUUUGACAUAGCCUCAGAGGAAGUACGGGCUAAGUUCGUGCCAGCCGCCGCAGUAACAC